AGAGUUUGAUCAUGGCUCAGAUUGAACGCUGGCGGCAUGCCUUACACAUGCAAGUCGAGCGGCAGCGCGGGGGCAACCCUGGCGGCGAGCGGCGCACGGGUGAGUAAUGCAUCGGAACGUGUCCUCUUGUGGGGGAUACCAGUCGAAAGACUGGCUAAUACCGCAUGAGAUCGAGAGAUGAAAGCAGGGGACCCGCAAGGCCUUGCGCGAGAGGAGCGGCCGAUGCCCGAUUAGCUAGUUGGUGGGGUAAAAGCCUACCAAGGCGACGAUCGGUAGCUGGUUUGAGAGAACGACCAGCCACACUGGGACUGAGACACGGCCCAGACUCCUACGGGAGGCAGCAGUGGGGAAUUUUGGACAAUGGGGGCAACCCUGAUCCAGCCAUGCCGCGUGUGUGAAGAAGGCCUUCGGGUUGUAAAGCACUUUCGGCCGGAACGAAAUCGCACUGGUGAAUAUCCAGUGUGGAUGACGGUACCGGAAGAAGAAGCACCGGCUAACUACGUGCCAGCAGCCGCGGUAAUACGUAGGGUGCGAGCGUUAAUCGGAAUUACUGGGCGUAAAGUGUGCGCAGGCGGUUUCGCAAGUCAAGUGUGAAAGCCCCGGGCUUAACCUGGGAACUGCGCUUGAAACUACGGAACUCGAGUGUGGCAGAGGAAGGUGGAAUUCCACGUGUAGCGGUGAAAUGCGUAGAGAUGUGGAGGAACACCGAUGGCGAAGGCAGCCUUCUGGGCCAACACUGACGCUCAUGCACGAAAGCGUGGGGAGCAAACAGGAUUAGAUACCCUAGUAGUCC
rnacentral:rRNA from 1 species